rnacentral:rRNA from 1 species
AGUGAACGCUGGCGGUAGGCCUAACACAUGCAAGUCGAACGGCAGCACAGUAAGAGCUUGCUCUUACGGGUGGCGAGUGGCGGACGGGUGAGGAAUACAUCGGAAUCUACUUUUUCGUGGGGGAUAACGUAGGGAAACUUACGCUAAUACCGCAUACGACCUACGGGUGAAAGCAGGGGAUCUUCGGACCUUGCGCGAUUGAAUGAGCCGAUGUCGGAUUAGCUAGUUGGCGGGGUAAAGGCCCACCAAGGCGACGAUCCGUAGCUGGUCUGAGAGGAUGAUCAGCCACACUGGAACUGAGACACGGUCCAGACUCCUACGGGAGGCAGCAGUGGGGAAUAUUGGAAAAUGGGCGCAAGCCUGAGCCAGCCAUACCGCGUGGGUGAAGAAGGCCUUCGGGUUGUAAAGCCCUUUUGUUGGGAAAGAAAAGCAGCAGGUUAAUACCCCGCUGUUCUGACGGUACCCAAAGAAUAAGCACCGGCUAACUUCGU